rnacentral:rRNA from 1 species
UACGUAGGGGGCAAGCGUUGUCCGGAUUUAUUGGGCGUAAAGAGCGUGUAGGCGGCCAGACAGGUCCGUUGUGAAAACUCGAGGCUCAACCUCGAGAUGUCGAUGGAAACCGUCUGGCUAGAGUCCGGAAGAGGAGUGUGGAAUUCCUGGUGUAGCGGUGAAAUGCGCAGAUAUCAGGAAGAACACCUAUGGCGAAGGCAGCACUCUGGGACGGUACUGACGCUGAGACGCGAAAGCGUGUGGAGCGAACAGG